rnacentral:rRNA from 1 species
AGAGUUUGAUCCUGGCUCAGGAUGAACGCUAGCGGCAGGCCUAAUACAUGCAAGUCGAACGGUUAUGAGUUGUAGCAAUAUGAUUCAUGAUAGUGGCGCACGGGUGCGUAACGCGUAUGCAACCUACCCUUAACUGGGGGAUAGCCCCGGGAAACCGGGAUUAAUACCGCAUAAUAUAAUUUUGUUGCAUGAUGAGAUUAUUAAAGAUUUAUUGGUUAAGGAUGGGCAUGCGUGCCAUUAGCUAGUUGGCGGGGUAACGGCCCACCAAGGCUUCGAUGGCUAGGGGUUCUGAGAGGAUGAUCCCCCACACUGGUACUGAGAUACGGACCAGACUCCUACGGGAGGCAGCAGUAGGGAAUAUUGGUCAAUGGACGCAAGUCUGAACCAGCCAUGCCGCGUGCAGGACGAAGGCCCUCCGGGUCGUAAACUGCUUUUGUACGGGAAGAACAGCCUCCACGAGUUGGGGGUUUGACGGUACUGUAAGAAUAAGGAUCGGCUAACUACGUGCCAGCAGCCGCGGUAAUACGUAGGAUCCGAGCGUUGUCCGGAUUUAUUGGGUUUAAAGGGUGCGCAGGCGGCCCGAUAAGUCAGUGGUGAAAGCCGGCAGCUCAACUGUCGAAUUGCCAUUGAUACUGUUGGGCUUGAGUAUAGUUGAGGUUGGCGGAAUGUAUCAUGUAGCGGUGAAAUGCAUAGAUAUGAUACAGAACACCGAUUGCGAAGGCAGCUGACUAAGCUAUUACUGACGCUCAUGCACGAAAGCGUGGGGAUCAAACAGGAUUAGAUACCCUGGUAGUCCACGCCGUAAACGUUGAUAACUCGAUGUUGGCGAUAUAGUGUCAGCGUCUUAGCGAAAGCGUUAAGUUAUCCACCUGGGGAGUACGCCGGCAACGGUGAAACUCAAAGGAAUUGACGGGGGCCCGCACAAGCGGUGGAGCAUGUGGUUUAAUUCGAUGAUACGCGAGGAACCU